rnacentral:rRNA from 1 species
UACGUAGGGACCGAGCGUUGUCCGGAUUCAUUGGGCGUAAAGAGCUCGUAGGCGGCCACUCAAGUCGAAUGUGAAACCUCGAGGCUCAACCUCGAGCCUGCAUUCGAUACUGGGCGGCUAGAGUCUGGUAGGGGGAUCUGGAAUUCCUGGUGUAGCGGUGGAAUGCGCAGAUAUCAGGAGGAACACCGGUGGCGAAGGCGGGUCUCUGGGCAGUAACUGACGCUGAGGAGCGAAAGCGUGGGGAGCGAACAGG